GUCGUAACACAGGUGCUGCAUGGCUGUCGUCAGCUCGUGUCGUGAGAUGUUCGGUUAAGUCCGCUAACGAGCGCAACCCUCGCUGUGUGUUACAAGUGUCACACGGUACUGCCGGUCUUAAGCCGGAGGAAGGUGGGGAUGACGUCAAGUCAGCAUGGCCUUUAUGUCCUGGGCUACACACACGCUACAAUGGCCAACACAAUAGGUUGCUAAGCCGCGAGGUGGAGCCAAUCCUCAAAGUUGGUCUCAGUUCAGAUUGCAGGCUGCAACCCGCCUGCAUGAAGAUGGAGUUGCUAGUAACCGCAGGUCAGCUAUACUGCGGUGAAUACGUUCCCGGGGCUU
rnacentral:rRNA from 1 species